rnacentral:rRNA from 1 species
GAUGAACGCUGGCGGCGUGCCUAAUACAUGCAAGUCGAGCGAACAGAUGAGGAGCUUGCUCCUCUGACGUUAGCGGCGGACGGGUGAGUAACACGUGGAUAACCUACCUAUAAGACUGGGAUAACUUCGGGAAACCGGAGCUAAUACCGGAUAAUAUAUUGAACCGCAUGGUUCAAUAGUGAAAGACGGUUUUGCUGUCACUUAUAGAUGGAUCCGCGCCGCAUUAGCUAGUUGGUAAGGUAACGGCUUACCAAGGGAACGAUGCGUAGCCGACCUGAGAGGGUGAUCAGCCACACUGGAACUGAGACACGGUCCAGACUCCUACGGGAGGCAGCAGUAGGGAAUCUUCCGCAAUGGGCGAAAGCCUGACGGAGCAACGCCGCGUGAGUGAUGAAGGUCUUCGGAUCGUAAAACUCUGUUAUUAGGGAAGAACAAAUGUGUAAGUAACUAUGCACGUCUUGACGGUACCUAAUCAGAAAGCCACGGCUAACUACGUG